GUGAGGAAUAUUGGUCAAUGGGCGCAAGCCUGAACCAGCCAUGCCGCGUGCAGGAAGACGGUCCUAUGGAUUGUAAACUGCUUUUAUUUGGGAAUAAACUCCGGUACGUGUACCGGCCUGAAGGUACCAAAUGAAUAAGCACCGGCUAACUCCGUGCCAGCAGCCGCGGUAAUACGGAGGGUGCAAGCGUUAUCCGGAAUCAUUGGGUUUAAAGGGUCCGCAGGCGGUCUUAUAAGUCAGUGGUGAAAGCCUACAGCUCAACUGUAGAACUGCCAUUGAUACUGUAGGACUUGAAUUCGAUCGAAGUGGGCGGAAUGUGACAUGUAGCGGUGAAAUGCUUAGAUAUGUCACAGAACACCGAUAGCGAAGGCAGCUCACUAGGUCUGGAUUGACGCUCAGGGACGAAAGCGUGGGGAGCAAACAGGAUUAGAUACCCUAGUAGUCC
rnacentral:rRNA from 1 species